rnacentral:lncRNA from 1 species
ACUCUUCUUGUCCUUCUUGCCGCCAGAUCUUGGUGGUGGCUAGGUGUCACACAUGUGGCCGGUUUCCGACUAUCUCCUCCUCCUCCUCAUGUGAUGGAGCCAACGCUGAAGCAGAUAGCAAGGCCAGGGAAAGAAAUAGUAAUUGUAAUGUUAAUGUCAGUAAUAAUAAUAAUCAACAUCAUACUGUUAUUGCUGGGUUCUUGCCUUGACAAACCCCACAAGUAUUUUUCUUUUUUAUUUCUUUGGUCACUGACUUUCGCCAUUAUGUAUUGUACAGUUGAUUAGAGGUUUGAGACCCAUUUCAUAGCUUCAGGCCAGAGCUAAUUGCAGUAUUUAGUCUUAAAUAUAAGCUACUUGUUCAAGUUUGUCUUUGUACAUAAUAAUUUUACCCUUUUCUAAUAUGUUUCAUUAUAAUAUUUUCCUUCAAUUAUGUAGAGCAGGUACAACCUUCUAGAUGCUAAAUUUAGAAUCUUAGAUUGAGUUCCACUAUUCCUUUACCAGUUAGAAAGUAUAUGUUGGACAAAUAAAUUUGAUUCAUAUAUAUCUUAGCUCCAGCAGAAUAACAGUAACUCCUUAUGUGACCCAAAGGUAUAAAAGUCAAGGAGAAUGAAUGAAACAGCACUUGCAGCAUGCUUUAUAAUUCCUACAUGAAAAGCCAUCUAGUCUACGUUAUUCUUUUAUUCCUAAACAUUCUAUUUCAUUCUCCACUUUGCACUUUUUCUUGCUCACUUACUUAUAUUCCGUUCCGUUCUAAACACAGGAAAGCUCAGUAAUUUAACUUGAUUAUUCUGCCUAUUUAUUGCCUGUUUAUUUGGUCCGUGACUGAGACAAUAAAUACACAAAGGAGCAUUCAGUGUUCAUCAGAUGGAAAUUUUUCAUCCAAAGGCUUAUACGCAUAAACAUAUAAUUAAAUCAUUAGAAACAAAAGAAUAAUGCUUAAUAAAUGUUAAAGAAAAAGAGAGAUUUUAAUGAAUCCUAUGAGAUUUUAACUAUAAAGUGGUGAUAUUCCAGAUGGGGCUGAGAAAACAGUGAUUGUUCUUUAUCCUACAGAAAGAAAUGCAGCUAUUACUUUACCUUUUAUGUUAAGUUGGCGUCAGGGUCCACCAGGAAUCCGAGGUUAUCCCUCCUGAAACCAAAAAGAGAAUAAAAAAUCUUAUAAAUAUCAGCCAAAAUAUUUUCCCUUUUCUCCAACAAAUCAUGACUACAGACAAGGGCACUAAAAGGACAUCCAUUUUUACCUGUAAAGUAUGAAACUGAAUACAAGUGUGUAUAAAGAAUUCCAGUGUUUAUGACCGUCCUCUUCACACAUGUAUAGCAUGGCUUAUUAUCAUUGACUACUCAAUGUAGUGCUAUUAUGCCCGCCUUCCCUAACUUUUCUAGAAGCCAAUUCAUCACAGGAGAUGUCCUCUCCUGGUGCAACUUGAUAGUCUGUGUGCCAGACUCUC